UAAAGCAAAUCAUGCAUCAUCAAGCUCAUGAAUUAAUAACUCAAAACUCAAAAUAGCUCUAACCUAUCACCCAUUUUUACCGAUCAUUAUUCAAAUAAACCAUGAAAGUGGGUCAAAUAAGCAACAAGAAGAAAUUAGUAUCAUAGAUAGAUAGACAGAUAUAUACAACAAAAACAUAACAAGGGAAACAAAAAUAUAUUAUUCCUAAUCUAUAAUUAUACAAAAACUAUGUUCAUAUGAUCUAUAUAGACCAUUAUUAGGCACAUGAAAUACCCAUCAUUGAACUGGCCGUGAACCUCUCCGACCCAGUUCUCCUCACCAAGGAAUUAAUCUCCGGUGAGAAUCCGCCAAAAUCAAUCUCCGGCACCUCAGGGAUGGUGGAAAGAGCUCCAGACUUAUCAUAAACGACGUAGUAUUCAUGGCCCGGUCGACCUUUACUACCAAAUAUGCCGCUAGAAUUCUGUUUAGACUUGAACAUGGAUUUCAAGAACUUGUUAAGUGACCGAGAAAUUUUAGAGGUUUUCUUUGAGACAGAAGGAGCAAGAGAAAGAGGAAGAGGAGGCUGAGAAUUCUCUACUGCCACAGGCACUCUUCGAUCAGGUAAAUGAGGCAUGGAUAAAGUUCUUGAAUGUAUAGCAGAGUAAAGUUGACGCUCGAAAGAUUUGAGCUCAAAAGAAUCAUAAAGAGUGCUUCCACAGUCCCAAACAAGAGGGUUAUCAGAGAUGGGUUUUUGCUGGUGGGUAUUUGUUGACUCUUGGAGCUUUUCCAUGACUGGGAGAAGGAGGCGAAAGAGAAGAGAAAGAGGGAUAUAUAAAUAGUAGUAGAAGAUAUGUUAGGCUUUUCUCUUGAGGGUAGGUAUACUAUGAAAGGCGUUGGUUAUGAGCUAAAUCAAGGACACGUUUCAGAGUUCACGGCAAAAGCAUACGGGCCAUUAAAUUCUCCAUUUCCGUGUAAGAGGCAUCGUCCUUACUGGCAGCUCUGAAUUUAUUGAGGGGAAGGUCGGCAUUUUCU
rnacentral:misc_RNA from 1 species